UACAGAGGGGGCAAGCGUUGUUCGGAAUUACUGGGCGUAAAGGGCGCGUAGGCGGCCUGCUAAGUCGAACGUGAAAUCCCUGGGUUCAACCCAGGAACUGCGUCCGAUACUGGUUGGCUUGAAUCCGGGAGAGGGAUGCGGAAUUCCAGGUGUAGCGGUGAAAUGCGUAGAUAUCUGGAGGAACACCGGUGGCGAAGGCGGCAUCCUGGACCGGCAUUGACGCUGAGGCGCGAAAGCCAGGGGAGCAAACGGG
rnacentral:rRNA from 1 species